GAGGGAAAUCAGCUGAUGCUUGGUACUUAAUCAUUUACUUAAGAUAUUUAUUUAUUCAUAUGAUUUUCUUCUCUCUUUCCAAAAGAAAAUGAAGAUUUGAGUUCUUGCAAGAGGAAUUUUUUCUGAACAUAGAUUAUGCCCAAUGAAUUGCAAAUGUUUUGAAUAUUUUUCAUUUAGUUAGUGCCAUGCUCCUUAAUGCUUGUAUAUUCUCUGGCCUCCCAUCAGAGCUGAAAUUUUCCAACUUUAAUGUAUGUUUGUUAGUUGAUAAAAAAUCCUUGCACUGCAAUAUUUUAUUGGGUCAUUUCUGCUAGGGUGGAUAAUGCAAGAGUUGCUGCAAACCACAUUUUGGCUGGAGAAACACAUUCUGUGUUACAGACUAUAAGGGCUUCACCUUCAGAAUCUGGCUCUCCUGCACAGAAUUUCAAAAAUAGCAUACCUCAAUCGCAGGUCGGAGGAGGUGGGGGUAUGGGAACACCCACUUUGAAGAAUGAAACUGUCAGCAAAAAAGCUUUUGCGUUACAAGACAAGGUUGUCUUUCAUUUUGAACUGUUUUUUUAGAAGAUAAUAGAUGAACAGUGUCUAAUGUCUUCCAACUUGCUGUGGAAGCAAGCAUGUUCAAUGAAUGACAAUGGGGUGGGGCAGGCAGGUUUUGCUAAUCCCUACCCUGUUAGGAAAACCAAGUGGGAUAGGUAUCCCCAUUGUAUUUCUAUAAUUUUUCAAAGUAGAAAAAAAAAUCAUAUUCUUUGGCUUUGAUUAUUUUGUUGGAGUUUAAUUGUGGCUGCAAAUUGGAUGACUGCUUAUUUGGAAGUCAUUGUUUUGCAGCUUUGGUCCAUAUAUGCGGCUGGUAAUACAGUACCCAUACCAUUCUUGAAGGCAACAGAUAUAUCCCCAAUUGCUCUCUUGUCAGACAAUGUGCUUGGAGGUACACAGAGGGAUAACGGUGACACUCAAGCAGUGGAAACACUGCAAGAACUUUUUACUGGUGAUGGGCUGUCUAAAAAAGGCCGACGGGUACAAAAUGAGAUGCCCCUUCCUCCAAGUGUGUACCAGAGACUAACCACAAGUUCUACACUGCUGAAUCUGGCACAGGCUUUGGCCUACCACAAAAUGUAGUACUUACUGAUUUGUUCAAUCAUAUCUUUGUUCUGUUAAUGGCAUGUUUAGAUUUUCAAAGUGAUUUCAAGCUUUAGAACAUUAAUAGCUUGCACAAGUUCUGUGCCAUAUAUUUCCUGUAUUUUAUUUGGUUAAUUACCUCCCCUUGCACUUUUCAGAAAUCAUUUCUUGCUUACCUAAGUUUUCUUUAACUGUGGUAUCGUGUGGGUGGUAAUUCACUUCCUAUUGUUUACCCUAUGCUUGCAUUGUUGCAGGUGUUAUGAAGAGAUGCCACUCCAAGAGUUGCAAGCAACUCAAGAACAACAGACCAUUCAAAAUCUGUGUGAUACACUCCGAACCAUCCUCCGCUUGUAAAUAGUCUCAAACUCAGAGAGAGAGAGAGAGAGC
rnacentral:misc_RNA from 1 species